GCUCAGUUGGUAGAGCACGACCUUGCCAAGGUCGGGGUCGCGAGUUCGAGUCUCGUUUCCCGCUCCA
rnacentral:tRNA from 40 species